CCUACGGGUGGCAGCAGUGGGGAAUAUUGCACAAUGGGGGAAACCCUGAUGCAGCGACGCCGCGUGAGUGAAGAAGUAAUUCGGUACGUAAAGCUCUAUCAGCAGGGAAGAAAAUGACGGUACCUGAGUAAGAAGCCCCGGCUAACUACGUGCCAGCAGCCGCGGCAAUACGUAGGGGGCAAGCGUUAGCCGGAUUUACUGGGUGUAAAGGGGGCGUAGACGGUGCGUCAAGUCUGUAGUGAAAUGACGGAGCUUAACUGUGGAACUGCUUUGGAAACUGGGCGGCUUGAGUGCAUGAGGGGUAAGCGGAAUGCCUAGUGUAGCGGUGAAAUGCGUAGAUAUUAGGAGGAACACCGGUGGCGGAGGCGGCUUACUGGACUGUAACUGACGUUGAGGCUCGAAAGCGUGGGGAGCAAACAGGAUUAGAUACCCGUGUAGUC
rnacentral:rRNA from 1 species